CCAGACUCCUACGGGAGGCAGCAGUGGGGAAUAUUGCACAAUGGGGGAAACCCUGAUGCAGCAACGCCGCGUGAGUGAGGAAGUAUUUCGGUAUGUAAAGCUCUAUCAGCAGGGAAUAGACAAGACGGUACCUGACAAAGAAGCACCGGCUAACUACGUGCCAGCAGCCGCGGUAAUACGUAGGGGGCAAGCGUUAUCCGGAAUUACUGGGUGUAAAGGGAGCGUAGACGGAAAUGCAAGUCAGAAGUGAAAGCCCAAGGCUCAACCAUGGGACUGCUUUUGAAACUGUCAAACUAGAGUACGGGAGAGGUAAGAGGAAUUCCUAGUGUAGCGGUGAAAUGCGUAGAUAUUAGGAGGAACACCAGUGGCGAAGGCGGCUUACUGGCCCGAAACUGACGUUGAGGCUCGAAAGCGUGGGGAGCAAACAGGAUUAGAUACCCUAGUA
rnacentral:rRNA from 1 species